CUCCCAUCUUUCAAGACCUUGUUACUUAGAGGUGUUUGGAUCUGAGGAUCAGCAAAUCCUAUCUGACCAUGACUCAAUAUAGAAAUGAAAUGUUUUAUUAUUUAUAUACAAGCUGCUUUCUUAGCCUAAAUGUUAUCCUUUUUAUAUAAAAUCUUUUACAAGAAUAUAAUUUUUGUAAAUAAUUAAAAAGAGUUCCUUGAAUCAAUCACUAUUUGGGUAUAAUUAUUUUAUUUGUGAAUAUCACCCUACCUCCAAGGCUACAUGGUUUACAACUCAUUCAUUUAGCUGGUCGAUCUUUCAUAUAACAAUAAUUUGUGACUCUUAUUGUAUGUUCUAUAUGUUGACAAACUACAUAUUAGGUUAUAUAUUGGUUCUACACUACCAAGUAAAAAUGUGCUUUUAUUCUAAGUAUUUCAAUUAGUGAGACAUUUGAUACUUAAGGACAAUACUAUAGCAUGUUAUGUUAAUUAUUUUUAUGCAAUAUCAUACAGAUUACAUAAUUUAAUGAUGAUGAGAGACUGAGAAAUUGAGAGACUAUUUACCCCUAUGAAGUCACCUUCUUCAAACUCACUUAAAAUGUCAGAGUUUGAAUUUUUGUUUGUGCUUGUAUUGCUUGAGAUGACCUUUAAAUGUCCAGCAAGAAUCCAAUAGCACUCAAGUGGUAGGUGUCCUUGUCUUAGAACCAGACUUUCAGCUUCAUACCUGUAGUCCCAGCCACUCGGGAAACUGAGGUAGGAAGACCACUUGAGCCUAGGAGGUCGAGACUGCAGUGAGCCAAGAUCACACCACUGCCCUCCAGCCUGGGUGAGAGAAUGACACUCU
rnacentral:lncRNA from 10 species